rnacentral:rRNA from 1 species
CAGCCAAUUAGCGCGCAGGAUUGCGGCCCUCCGGUUCUUAAACUACUUUUAGUUGGGAAUUUUCAAGAGGACGUGUCCUCUAUUGUAUGUACCUUCAGAAAAAGGACCGGCUCAUUCCGUGCCAGCAGCCGCGGUUAAUACGGAAGGUCCAGGCGUUAUCCGGAUUUAUUGGCUUUAAAGGGAGCGUAGGCGGAUUAUUAAGUCAGUGGUGAAAGACGGUGGCUCAACCAUCGUUAGCCAUUGAAACUGGUAGUCUUGAGUGCAGACAGGGAUGCUGGAACUCGUGGUGUAGCCGGUGAAAUGCUUAGAUAUCACGAUGAACUCCGAUCGCGAAGGCAGGUGUCCGGGCUGCAACUGACGCUGAGGCUCGAAAGUGUGGGUAUCAAACAGGAUUAGAUAUCCCUGGUAGUCCACACCAGUAAAGCGAUGUAUACUCGCGGUUUGCGAUAUA